UAAUACGUACCGGACGAACGUUAUUCGGAAUCACUGGGCUUAAAGAGUACGUAGGCUGUCUUGUAGGUGAGGUGUGAAAUCCCACGGCUCAACCGUGGAACUGCGCUUCAAACCACAAGACUUGAGGGAGACAGGGGUGAGCGGAACUGAUGGUGGAGCGGUGAAAUGCGUUGAUAUCAUCAGGAACACCAGUGGCGAAGGCGGCUCACUGGGUCUCUUCUGACGCUGAGGUACGAAAGCUAGGGUAGCGAACGGGAUUAGAUACCCCGGUAGCCCUAGCUGUAAACGAUGAGCACUAGUUCGGGGGGACUUCCACAUCCUCCCGGACGUAGCGAAAGUAUUAAGUGCUCCGCCUGGGGAGUAUGGUCGCAAGGCUG
rnacentral:rRNA from 1 species